ACUCCUACGGGAGGCAGCAGUGGGGAAUUUUGCGCAAUGGGGGAAACCCUGACGCAGCAAUGCCGCGUGGAGGAUGAAGUCCUUUGGGAUGUAAACUCCUUUCGAUCGGGAAGAUUAUGACGGUACCGGAAGAAGAAGCACCGGCUAACUACGUGCCAGCAGCCGCGGUAAUACGUAGGCAGCAAGCGUUGUUCGGAAUUACUGGGCGUAAAGAGUGUGUAGGCGGUGCUCUAAGUUCGUUGUGAAAUCUCCCGGCUUAACUGGGAGGGUGCGGCGGAAACUGGAGUGCUUGAGCGCGGGAGAGGAAAGCGGAAUUCCUGGUGUAGCGGUGAAAUGCGUAGAUAUCAGGAGGAACACCAAUGGCGAAGGCAGCCUUCUGGGCCAACACUGACGCUCAUGCACGAAAGCGUGGGGAGCAAACAGGAUUAGAUACCCUGGUAGUCCCAGCCGUAAACGAUGUCCACCAGGUGCUGGGCGGAUCGACCCGUUCAGUGCCGCAGCUUACGUGAUGAGUGGACCGCCUGGGGAGUACGGCCGCAAGGUUGAAACUUAAAGGAAUUGACG
rnacentral:rRNA from 1 species